GCCGGCCUGAGAGGGCACACGGCCACACUGGCANUGAAACACGGGCCAGACUCCUACGGGAGGCAGCAGUGGGGAAUCUUGCACAAUGGGGGAAACCCUGAUGCAGCGACGCCGCGUGAGCGAUGAAGCCCUUCGGGGUGUAAAGCUCUUUCGGCAGGGAAGAUUAUGACGGUACCUGCAGAAGCAGCUGCGGCUAACUACGUGCCAGCAGCCGCGGUAAUACGUAGGCAGCAAGCGUUGUUCGGAGUUACUGGGCGUAAAGGGUGUGUAGGCGGUUGUUUAAGUUUGGUGUGAAAUCUCCCGGCUUAACUGGGAGGGUGCGCCGAAUACUGAAUGACUAGAGUGCGGGAGAGGAAAGUGGAAUUCCUGGUGUAGCGGUGAAAUGCGUAGAUAUCAGGAGGAACACCGGUGGUGUAGACGGCUUUCUGGACCGUAACUGACGCUGAAACACGAAAGCGUGGGUAGCAAACAGGAUUAGAUACCCUGGUAGUCCACGCCCUAAACGAUGCAUAUUUGGUGUGGGUCAUUCAGUUGAUCCGUGCCGGAGCUAACGCGUUAAAUAUGCCGCCUGGGGAGUACAGUCGCAAGGNCUGAAAACUCAAA
rnacentral:rRNA from 1 species